ensembl:snRNA U4 U4 spliceosomal RNA
AUCUUUGUGCAGUGGCAAUAUCAUAGUCUAUGAAGUUUAUCUGAGACGUGAUUAUUGCUAGUUGAAAAUUUUACCCAAUAUCCUGCCUUACCAACUCGAAACAUAUUCGACAAUGGCAAUUUAUAAUAGUCUCUCAGGAGA